rnacentral:rRNA from 1 species
GACGAACGCUGGCGGCGUGCUUAACACAUGCCAGUCGAACGGAAAGGCCCUGCUUUUGUGGGGUGCUCGAGUGGCGAACGGGUGAGUAACACGUGAGUAACCUGCCCUUGACUUUGGGAUAACUUCAGGAAACUGGGGCUAAUACCGGAUAGGAGCUCCUGCUGCAUGGUGGGGGUUGGAAAGUGUCGGCGGUUGGGGAUGGACUCGCGGCUUAUCAGCUUGUUGGUGGGGUAGUGGCUUACCAAGGCUUUGACGGGUAGCCGGCCUGGGAGGGUGACCGGCCACAUUGGGACUAAGAUACGGCGCAGACGCCUACGGGAGGCAGCAGUGGGGAAUAUUGCACAAUGGGCGGAAGCCUGAUGCAGCAACGCCGCGUGCGGGAUGACGGCCUUCGGGUUGUAAACCGCUUUCGCCUGUGACGAAGCGUGAGUGACGGUAAUGGGUAAAGAAGCACCGGCUAACUACGUG